UGGGGAAUUUUGCACAAUGGGGGAAACCCUGAUGCAGCGACGCCGCGUGAUUUAGAAGGCCUUCGGGUUGUAAAAAUCUUUUCUAUGGGAAGAAAAUGACAGUACCAUAGGAAUAAGGACCGGCUAAUUACGUGCCAGCAGCCGCGGUAAUACGUAAGGUCCGAGCGUUGUCCGGAAUCAUUGGGCGUAAAGGGUACGUAGGCGGGUAAGCAAGUUAGAAGUGAAAUCCUAUAGCUCAACUAUAGUAAGCUUUUAAAACUGCUCAUCUUGAGGUAUGGAAGGGAAAGUGGAAUUCCUAGUGUAGCGGUGAAAUGCGCAGAUAUUAGGAAGAAUACCGGUGGCGAAGGCGACUUUCUGGCCAUAACCUGACGCUGAGGUACGAAAGCGUUGGUAGCAGACAGG
rnacentral:rRNA from 1 species